GUAGGCAUGAUAUCAGAUCUCCAAAGCAAUCGUCUCUCUUCACUGCUGUAAUUCGAUCAAUACUAUUAUAAUCGGCGAUAAAUGAGAUGAACACGAGACUGAGAAUCGGAAUUGCCCAAAACUUGGUUUUAAGGUCAAGGAUGUGGUGAAUAUAACUGAAGUUUUUCUGGGUGUUUGGAUUUAUGCCCCUUGCCUUGCUAACAUCAAAGACAUGGCCUUUGGUUAUGGGCAUCAGGUGGCUUUUUAAAUUGUGUUGAUUUAGAGUGGAGAGCGUGAUGAAUGAAGAAGCUGAAAAGAGAGCCUUUUAAAAGCUGCCGACAAUGAAGAACAUGUAGGUUGAACCCAAAAUAGGCCCUCGUCCAUCUUUUGCACAACUUGUCUACAUAUCACUCUACGUGUUAGUAUGCUAAGUUAUGAUAACUUUUAAACAGCACAACAUUUUGUAUAGCUUCGUUUUGUACAACUUUCAUAUAUAAGUUAGGCGAUGCAACUAUGGAACAUCGGUGUAACAAAUACUUGGUU
rnacentral:lncRNA from 1 species